rnacentral:rRNA from 1 species
CGAUCGAACAGCAAUGUGUGGCAUACGGCUCAGUAACACGUCGUCAACAUGCCCAGGGGACGUGGAUAACCUCGGGAAACUGAGGAUAAACCGCGAUAGGUCACUACUUCUGGAAUGGGUAAUGACCCAAACCUAUAUGGCCCCUGGAUUGGACUGCGGCCGAUCAGGCUGUUGGUGAGGUAAUGGCCCACCAAACCUGUAACCGGUACGGGCUCUGAGAGGAGGAGCCCGGAGAUGGGCACUGAGACAAGGGCCCAGGCCCUAUGGGGCGCAGCAGGCGCGAAACCUCUGCAAUAGGCGAAAGCUUGACAGGGUUACUCUGAGUGAUUUCCGUUAAGGAGAUCUUUUGGCACCUCUAAAAAUGGUGCAGAAUAAGGGGUGGGCAAG